rnacentral:rRNA from 1 species
UACGGAGGGUGCUAGCGUUGUUCGGAAUCACUGGGCGUAAAGGGCGUGUAGGCGGUCUGUUAAGUCUGAUGUGAAAUCCCCUCGCUCAACGAGGGAACUGCGUCGGAUACUGGCAGACUCGAGUACCGGAGAGGAAGGUGGAAUUCCUGGUGUAGCGGUGGAAUGCGCAGAGAUCCGGAAGAACACCGGUGGCGAAGGCGGCCUGCUGGGCAGUAGCUGACACUGAGGCGCGACAGCGUGGGGAGCAAACAGG